rnacentral:pre_miRNA from 1 species
UCCACAUGGAAAUGUGGGACCAGUGGAUGAGGGAAACUAGUCGAUCUCACACUAAUUUGACAGAAUGUAAGCUCGUCUUUGUUUUCCUACAUCUCUGGUCCCCCAACUUGUUCAAUGG